CCUCCUAGCGUCACAGAAACACCGACUGACUAAGGAUGCCUGGGAAAGGGAAGAAAAAGAAGGGCAAGAAGGGAAGUAAAUGACCUCCCAUAGCCCUCGCAGGGAAGCCCUCCAUUUUCUUGAGCAUACUCCUGACUCCCACAGUAGAAGAGAGCAGUCCAGGGGAGGAACUCACUGGACGAUUUUGGGGGAGCCCUGAUUAUGGUACGGGUCGGACUCUGCUGAGUCCUACAAAGAUCAGCCGGAUUACAAGCACUUGGAAUUGGACUCUGCUGGGUCCUAUGACCCCUACAAGGACGACCGUAAGAGCUGUGAUGACUAUGGAGGUAUCCCCUUGGCGCAAGCAAACCAGACGCGAGACACCUAGAGGCGACCUCAUUCGAGGAGAAAACUCUCUUCGCUAGGACACACAGCCCCGGAACUCUUGCACCCAUAACGAAGCAUCGUAGAGUCAGGAAGGAGGCGAUACCAGUGCCCACUCCAGAGACGGGGAAGUUGGCUGGUGCGCCCCCUGUGCGGGACAGCAAUGGUUGCCGCCCCCCAAAUCGGCGAGGGGCGAUUCCCCGCAGGUGGGUUGGACUGCAGCCCAGCCGACAACUGGGAAACAGCCCGGACUCUCAUCGGCUUUCCUGGACUCGCUAACUUGUUAAAUAAUGUUGUAUCCGUCCCAGUCACUUUAUCCUUGUGACAUUGAUUGUACCGGUCGUUUUGUCCCCUUUGGUGUCUGUACCUGUUGGUUUUUCCGUCCGUGUAUCUGUUGUUGUCUUGGUGCCUGUCCUUCCCCCUCUGUCUUGCUCGUGCUGGCCCGUGUUGGGUCGUUCGGUCCUCUGGCCUCGCCAUUCGGCGUUGGUCUCGGGGAUGCGGCCCAAUAAGAUGUUAACUUAUUUAUCUACUUUAAUAUAUACCAAUUAUAAAGCACUAUUAAUAUUCUAAAAUAAACUGAGAGAUGACUUAUUACUGUUCUAGUACUCCAUUUAUAACAAUAAAAUGUUAAUGCAUAUAAAUACAUAAACAAGCUUCAAAACCGAAUCAGAGCUCUGUAUUAUCGUAAUUGAGCUGAAAUCUGAUGGAAUCUCCCAGUCUGUACUCAAUAUUUAUGACCAUAAUACUUUUUAGCUGUUUGAAAUAUAUUCUUAAGGGAUAAAAUGCAUAUACUUUUUGAAUUAAGCAGUUUGAUCUGUUAAAAUAUUUUCAAAUUAUUUUGCAUGUCUGUUUAACAAAACUUUUCAGUGCUUAAUUGCAAAUAAACUUUAGUGGAUAAAGUCUUUUGAACAUUACCUACACAUGUGGUAUACACAAUUAUUUUAAAUACAUGUUAUAUAGGAACUCAUAAAAGAAAUUCAGGAAGAGAGUAUUAAUGCACUGGUUUAUCCAUUAAUUCAGUAACUGAUGGGUUCAAAGUUGGUUUCAGUAUAAGACAACUAUGAACAACCCUGAGCUCAGAAUCCUCAUGAUGUUUGUUGAGACUUCUGAAGAAAUAUUUUCAGUUUCAGGGAUAUUUUUGUGUACUAAGUGGAUGAAAGAAGAGUGUGGCCCAUCCCCUCUCUCCUUCCCUCCCACUCUCUUUAUGUUGCAGUGAUUAAAGACCUGUCUGAUUGUGAGCUCUUCUCAAAGUACUGGAAUUGGGUUGAAUAAAUAAUUCUAAGGUUUUGAAGUGGUAAUGAAACAAUACCUUCUGCUUUUAGCCCUUUUUCACAUAUAAGCUCACAUAUACUUUGAAUCUUUUUAUUUGGGAUUUUGCUUCCUUUGUAAUCAGAGAAAUCCAAAACUUGUUUGUGAAAGCUUCUAAAACCCAUGAUGAUACAGCUAUGAUAAUACAUUGCUUUUUUUGUGUGGGGGGGAAGGGGUGAUUGGAAGUGCUAUUUUUGAUUUAUUCUUUUUUAUGUCUUUUUUUACUGAAGACACAAUUACUUAAAUAUGUUUGCUUUACAUCAACAAUUAGAUAACCAUCAGAUAUAGUGAGGAAAGACACAGCACUAAAUGACAAGCUCCUUGGUGGUACUAAUAAGUAAUUUUGGAUUCCAGGCCCUCUCAUCUUCUGAGUAAUUGUGUGUGAUAUCAUUAUGAUCUUUCACAGUAAAUGCAACUGUAAAUGCAAUCCACCAGGACAUGUUCACAUGUGUUAUAGCAAACAAAUGUUUUGUGCAUUUAAUAAAAUUAUUGUUGUGUAAACAA